UAAUUAGUGGCCAUUGCUUGGGUGUGGCUAUAAAAGCCUGGAAGUGUGCAAUAUCUGGAGAUUGUGAAUCGCUACCUCCUGUGCAGAGUGGCUUCCUGUUUCUCCUGCGCCUGGUGUUGUGAUCAUCUCCUCCUUCGCUGACCUCGAGAACGGUGGUUCACUCUAGUUCCAGUGAGGACGCACGUUCCCGCGGCAGCCUGUGUCUCCGAGUAACGUGGGUAUUUUAUUUAAAUCUCCCUAUUGGCAUUAUUUUACCUCCGUUAGGUUUUUAAUUAUGAUUUGUGUUCUGCAGACACAACCCGGCCUGGUGGAGGGCUGGAGUCACCACACGAGCUGCUGUCUUGUCUUGUCGUUCUUUUGUUUUGGUUUAUACGAGUUGUUUUGCGGUCUGUGUGUUAUUUAAGUACCUGGUCAUAGUCGUGCACAGCACGCAUUUAUUCCUGUGUUCUGUUUAUAUCGUUUGCCUGUGUAUAGUUCUUUUGGUACUUCAGGUAUCCUGUGAGAGGGGAAUCUAACUUGCCUGUAGUUUCCCUGCUAUGUGUGUUUGCCCUACAGCUGGGGUCGACUGGUGCUUUCAUAUUUUCUUUAUCCCCUUUUGUUUGUAUGAGCAGGCAUUGUGCUAUCCUGGAGGGGGGCCAGUCACCUGGUGGUGGAGUCCCGUCAGUGCAUAUUCACGUGUGAUCAUUGGUUGCUGUGUGGU